rnacentral:lncRNA from 1 species
GGAAAUUUGACGAACAAUGGACUAUCGGCAAAUUGUUAGCUCACUUCAGUACUUGUCUCUUACUCGCCCGGAUAUCUCCUUUGCUGUGAACAAACUUGCUCAGUUUAUGCACUGCCCAACACAAACUCAUUGGAUAGCCAUCAAAUGUAUUUUUCGUUACCUGAAAAAAUAGAAAUCUAUUGCCCGCUCCUCCACUAAAUUUGAGUAUAGAGCUGUUGCUUCAACUGCUGCUGAACUUUGUUGGAUUGGCUCCCUUCUUCACGAACUACACAUUACCAUUGUUCCUCCCACUAUCUAUUGUGACAAUGUUGGGGCUACGUACCUUUGUGCCAACCCAGUUUUUUACUCUCACAUGAAACACACAGCAAUCGACUUCCAUUUUGUUCGUGACAAAGUUGCUGUAGGUCAAUUAAGGGUUUCUCAUGUCUCCACUCAUGAUCAACUUGCUGAUCUUUUAACAAAACCAUUGCCUAGGCAGUGGCAUCUUACUCUUCGAUCCAAGAUUGGUGUCUCUAAUGGGAGUAUCAUCUUGCGGGGGCAUGUUAGAGAUUCUCCAAAUCAAACUUCGAAUAUUUCUGUAGAUAAGGCUCCAAACAUCUGAUAACGUUAUCAAUUCAUCAGAUUGCUCCAACUACCUGAUAACCUUAUCAGUGUAUUAGAUUAGUCAGGCUCUAUUUUUCAAUUAUCUCUUCUUCUUAGCCUACAAUCGUAUGUGUUCCUGUACUGUAUAUAAAUAGUAGCAUCUCUGUAAAGAAAUAUGUAUCGGAUUACAUUCAAAUACCAUUUUUUUAUAAAGUGUUGAUCUCUUUAGUGGUGUCUAUAUAUGGAUGCCAGAGAGUCCCAAGCCAAACUUGCACAAAUUUUCUGUAGUAUUCUUUCUCUCUCUCUCUCUCUCUAAAGGAAGUCCUAUGUAUUAUUACAUCAAGUUAAAAGGAAUUAUCAAGUGGGUUUUGGUUUGAAGAUUCAUUGGUGUUUGAAGUUCUAUAGUGAAUUUUAUUCUUAUCUUAAAUAAUAUGACUGGAAGUAUAUCAUAAAUUUCUUACAUAUGGUAUCAGAGCCAUCUUUCAUGCUUGUUAUUCAGAUCUAAAAUUGUGGCAUAGUUUAUGUUUAUAAGUGACUCAAUUAUAUUUUAAUAGUCUAAUUUAUAGUGGAUCUGGUUGCUGCAAAUACUAACCAUUCCAUGCAUAUGAUGAUAAGGGUCUAAUUUUUCAUAUUAAAUGAUUUCUUGAGGCUAAUCGUUUUGAGUUAAUGGUUAAUUUGAUAAAUGGGUUUUAUUUUUCAAAUGCAUGGGAAUUAACGUGCAAUAUUUAUGCGUCAUUUAUUAAAAAAAUUCGCAUGUAAUUAUACAGAUUAGAAAUGCUGUAUAUAGAAGUGGAUUGUGUAAAGUAGUUUAUGUAACCAUCAUUUAAAACUUCAAUUAUUAUUUUUAAGUGUCCAACUUUUGAAAAUUACUAAAACCAUUUCAUAAACAUUCACCACGACAGCUAUCUUUCACUGUAUAUAUUGGAAACGUAACUGAUUUUGGAUUAAAAUGGACUUUAGUAUCUGUUGUAAUUAUAAAUUUCUCUAUUUGUUGUUGCUUUAAGUUAUUUAAAUACUGUUAUAGUAGAAUUGUUAGUUAGCAGCUUAUUUGUCUUUAAAAAAAAAAAAAAAAAAAACCCUCAACAUCUAAAAUUUGAGAAAUAUGUUAAAUAUUUUGUUGGAGGAUUUAGUACACUUUCAUCAACCUCCUUAAAGAUUCUUAGUUUGGAGACAUCAUUUUUGGAUUUCGACAUGUUAUUAUAACUUAAAAAUAGCCAAAGCACCUUUAGUAAUAAUUUUGUGUCAUGGAACAUAAAAUCCUAUCAUGAAUUAUUUGAUGAUACAUAGGACAUCUCAUAAAGUGCAGUUAAUUCAUGGAAUGAUUUUUUGGCCCCAUGGGAAAAUGGUUAUCUUAAAAAGAUUCAAUUGCAAUGAAGUAAUCAUUAAAUGUUGAAACAAGAAAUUUCCUAGACCUACAAUUGCAUUAAAAAAAAAAAAAAAAACUUGUAUUUGAUAUUAUUGAAGUCUUUGUAAAUUCAAUGUGUGAUAACUACCUUUACCUAUAGCAAGGUUUGAAUUUAUAUAAUUGAAUUGACAUUGGUUAAUUAGAUAUAAAAAUAGUUUUCAUAGCAUUAAUGUAUGUGUCUAUCUUAUGCAACGGUUCAUAGUUUUUUCAAUAACUCUAUUCGAAUUCCAAUUCAAUAUGGUGAUAACUUUUCUAUCUUUAAGGAGAAAAUUCUCUUUAUUUUGGGAUGUGUGGAUCUCGACUUGAUGCUCCGUGCAGAUGAACCACUUAUUCAUAUAGAAUCAAGUACGCUAGAAGAGAGGUGACUACAUGAAUCAUGGGAAAGAUCUAAUCAUUUGAGCGUGAAUCUCAUGGAGACUCAUGUCAGCAAAAGCUUCAGGAGAUCAACCCCUCAAUUUGAUAAGGCCAAGGACUUCAUAAAGGCCGAUGAAGAGCAAUUUGGAAGUUCUGAAAAAAUGUUGGCCAACACCUUAAUGAAAAGGCUUUCAGGCAUAAAGUUUGACAAUUCUAAAGGUGAGCAUGAGCAUAUAAUGGAUAUGAGAGACAUUGCCGCUCAUCUGAAAUCCGUGGAGAUAGAGAUUUUCGAUUCAUUCCUUGUUCAUCUCAUUUUGAACUCUCUUCCUAUGGAGUGUGGUCAAUUUAAAAUAUUGUAUAAUAUAACACACAUAAGGAAAAAUGGAUUGUGAAUGAACUCCUAACAAUGUGUGUUCAAAAGGAAGAGAGGCUAAAGCAUGAAAGGUAGGAAACUACUCAUCUGACAACUUAUGAUAAAGGAAAUGAAAACAAGGGUAAAUAUGAUUUAAAAAAAAAAAAAGAACAAGAUGCCAAUGAAGUAAAA